CGCCGCGUGCAGGAGGAAGGCCCUCGGGUCGUAAACUGCUUUUAUUGGUGGCGAUUUUGACGGUAGCCAAUGAAUAAGGGUCUGCUAACUACGUGC
rnacentral:rRNA from 1 species